rnacentral:rRNA from 1 species
CACGUAGGCACCAAGCGUUGUCCGGAUUUAUUGGGCGUAAAGAGCUCGUAGGCGGUUCAGUAAGUCGGGUGUGAAAACUCUGGGCUUAACCCAGAGCCGCCACCCGAUACUGCUGUGACUAGAGUCCGGUAGGGGAGUGGGGAAUUCCUAGUGUAGCGGUGAAAUGCGCAGAUAUCAGGAAGAACACCCGUGGCGAAGGCGGUUCUCUGGGACGGUACUGACGCUGAGACGCGAAAGCGUGGGGAGCGAACAGG